rnacentral:rRNA from 1 species
GCUAAUACCCCAUAAGCCGAGAGGUUAAAGCAGCAAUGCGAUGGAGGAGGUGCUCGUGUCCUAUCAGCUAGUUGGUGAGGUAAUGGCUCACCAAGGCUCUGACGGGUAGCCGGCCUGAGAGGGCGACCGGCCACACUGGAACUGAGAUACGGUCCAGACUCCUACGGGAGGCAGCAGUGGGGAAUAUUGGGCAAUGGGAGAAAUCCUGACCCAGCAACGCCGCGUGAACGAAGAAGGCCCUUGGGUCGUAAAGUUCUUUUGCGCGGGAAGAAGAAAGUGACGGUACCGCGCGAAUAAGCCCCGGCUAACUACGUGCCAGCAGCCGCGGUAAUACGUAGGGGGCGAGCGUUGUCCGGAAUUACUGGGCGUAAAGGGCACGCAGGCUGUGCCGUAAGUCGGCUGUAAAAAGAUGCGGCUUAACCGUGUUUAGCAGUCGAAACUGCGGUGCUGGAGUACCGAAGAGGCAAGUGGAAUUCCCAGUGUAGCGGUGAAAUGCGUAGAUAU